GUAAUAAACAAGUAGAUUUCAUUACUAUAGCACAGAUGCUACUCACUCAUCCCUUGCUGCUUGCCUUCUCAUGGUUGAUGAGAGCAACACUAUUUCUUGGAUCUUUCCCAUUUGGUUUCUUUUCUUUCUAUAACCCAAAAUUGAUGAGGGAAAAAAAAAAACCUAUGCGUAUGCAUUUAUAAUUUCUACUUCAUAUUUCAACUGCAGCAUCUAAAAUUUGUGCUAUUUUAUUUACCUGUGUCUCUUAUGGACUUGCCGCUUUUGGUAUUCGUUUAUUAAGAGCUCGGAGUAAAGAAUCUCAUUCCAGGUAUCAGGCACGCCAGGAAGACACCAAUGGCUGCAGUCUUGGUAUAGGAGCGGUGAUUUCCUUUCCUCCGGCGAUAGGUUCUGCUUCCUAAAGAUUGAAGGGUGACCAUCCUUCCGGUAAUCUGUCAUUUGUGUGACAUUUAGGUAUGUGACAUGGGUCUUCAUUCCCCUUAGUACCUUCUCCAGCACCAACAUCUUGGGUGGAUAUUCCGUUAGAUAUUUAGCAUUCUUGAUCGGCUCAACCUCAUUGUCGCAUGCACCACCAGAGUUCCAUUGCCCACCACUGAAAUGCGAAGCAGAAUAACCUCUGAAGAAGACCACAGACUUCAUUGGAUUUAUAUUGGCAUCAACCCAUCUAGCCCAGGUUGUUAAAGCUUUGCGAAAUGCCUCAAGAACAUUCAAUUCAUCAUAUACAUGACUCCCUUCUUGGUAAUAAUCCUUCCCUUUAGAAGUUUUCUCAUGAGUCCACCAGUGCCCAGUGUUGAAGAUGAUAAUAUCUGCAUUUUUAUAUUGGUCAGACAACCUCCCUAUCAAAUCAAGCCGAAGAGUCUCCUUCUUCGUUCCAUUUUUGUCUGGCAUUUCCCAUUCUUGAACUAAGAAAGGUGAUACAAAGAACUCUAUAGUGCACUUAUAAUCUUUGAAUAUGAAGGAGUAUGAAGCUUCACCUCUAAAAUGGUGUCUCCCAUUGGCCUCAAAAACCUGGCUUGGAUCUUUCACUGAGCCUUUUAGAAUGCAAACGAGAGAUUCCCACAUAUUCCUAUUGAGGGAAUCGCCCACGAAAACAAGUCGCUUUCCUCUCAACAUAUCCAACAUACGAGCAGGAUUUAACCUUGGUAAACUGCAGCCUUUAGGCUUCCAUUUGUACUUCUGGAAGUCUUUGUCAGGUCUACCGUUAAGAAUACAAUUGAAUUGCUCAUCAAUCAGUGAACAAGACCCAGGCUUGUAAAGCGGGUACGAAUUAUCAUGCACCCAUUCACCAUCAAACAAAUCACAACUCAACAAGCUCUUGAUCCCCUGCUUACUCAACGCCUCUGAAUUAGUUCCAUUUUUCUGUUUCGAUCCAUUA
rnacentral:misc_RNA from 1 species